rnacentral:lncRNA from 1 species
AGCGCAGGACCAGGAAGUGAUGAGCCAAGGUUAUGCGGCCGGCCCCGGGCUGAGGCACGAUCUGAACCCGGGCCCCUCCGGCCUCCUACCACACCAGGCCUCCUCCCGCAGAGCCUGAGCUCCAGGGACACCCCCCCCCCGCCCCCUCACGCGCAGCAGCACUUACCCAGGCCUCACCCCUGCACACAGGGCCGGCCUCGGGCGCCGCGCAUCACCGUCCCGCAGAGCCCGCCGGCCCGGGCACCAGGAGCGGGGGGAGGCGGGAACCACCCUCGGCCGCUCAGGGCCCCGCGGGCGCCGCCGACCGGAGGCCCCGACACGCGCUCCGCACGGCCCGGCUCGCGCACUCUCCCUCCCGAGCGCUGCGGACCGCAGGUGGGCCCAGGCCCAGGCGGCUCCGCUCACCUGGUAGGCGGCCGACCCACGGCCGGGGGCGGAGGGGCGCGUGCGCGUGCGCAUCCCGGGCCGCGGUGGGCCUCGGCUGCGCACCCGCCGCCCGCGCUCAGCGGGACCGUCCCGGGAGCCCCUUCCUCCAGGACCCGCCCCCAGAGGCCCGCCCCGGAGCCAGGAGCGGGGCCUGGAACCGGGGCUGACCUCCGCCGGCUCUCCGCGCCCGCCCCGGGCCUCAGUUUCCCCUCCUGUCGGGGGGAAGAGGAGUGCAGCACCAGCCUUGGAGGCCGCCGGGGUCCCCGCGCAGCGCGGCCCUGCAGUCACCCGGGGCACCGGGACCGUCGCGGCGGGGACAGGAGGAGACGCUGCGGCCCGGCUCGAGACGGCUCGGGACCAACGCGAAGGGCCGCGGCAGCCGCAGGGACACCCUCCACCCACCCAGCGCCGGCGGAAAGGCACCUGGAGCGUGGGCUGCGGCCGAGAGCCGCGUCUGCGGAGCUGCACCAGCGCGCGGGCUCUUCGCGCCCCCUCGUGCAUAGGAGGUGCAAAUCGAGCCGCCCGGACUGCAAGCAUCCCUACAUCUUCCCAUCACCCCGUGCACCCAUCCGUCCAUUCAUCCGGAAAAUAUUUAGGGAGCUUUCUCAUCCAUCCAUCCAUCCACCCACACGCUCCUCCAUUCAUUCGUGUAUAUGUUCAUUUAGAUUCCCACCCACCCAGAAAAAUCUACAGAGCAGCAACUUCAUAUCAGAGACUGUGCUAAGCAUUGGAAAUGCAUUGAAGAUAGACAGGCUUCCUGAUUUUUUUGUUGUUAAGUUCUCGGGGGAUAUGAGCCAGCGAACGCAAUAA